GGGUCGUUAGCUCAGCUGGUAGAGCAGCGGACUCUUAAUCCGUAGGUCGUCGGUUCGAAUCCGACACGGCCCACCA
rnacentral:tRNA from 1 species